AGUGGCGAACGGGUGAGUAACACGUGAGUAACCUGCCCCCUUCUUUGGGAUAAGCCUGGGAAACUGGGUCUAAUACUGGAUAUUCUGCUUCUGCCGCAUGGUGGUUGUGGGAAAGGUUUUUCUGGUGGGGGAUGGGCUCGCGGCCUAUCAGCUUGUUGGUGGGGUGAUGGCCUACCAAGGCUUCGACGGGUAGCCGGCCUGAGAGGGUGACCGGCCACACUGGGACUGAGAUACGGCCCAGACUCCUACGGGAGGCAGCAGUGGGGAAUAUUGCACAAUGGGCGAAAGCUUGAUGCAGCGACGCCGCGUGGGGGAUGAAGGCUUUCGGGUUGUAAACCUCUUUCGACAGGGAACAAGGCAUGCUUUUUGGCGUGUUGAGGGUACUUGUAUAAGAAGCGCCGGCUAACUACGUGCCAGCAGCCGCGGUAAUACGUAGGGCGCGAGCGUUGUCCGGAAUUAUUGGGCGUAAAGAGCUUGUAGGCGGCUUGUCGCGUCUGCUGUGAAAUCUUCGGGCUUAACUCGGAGCGUGCAGUGGGUACGGGCAGGCUAGAGUGCAGUAGGGGAGACUGGAAUUCCUGGUGUAGCGGUGGAAUGCGCAGAUAUCAGGAGGAACACCGAUGGCGAAGGCAGGUCUCUGGGCUGUUACUGACGCUGAGAAGCGAAAGCAUGGGGAGCGAACAGGAUUAGAUACCCUGGUAGUCCAUGCCGUAAACGUUGGGCACUAGGUGUGGGGCUUUUGUUCCGUGCCGUAGCUAACGCAUUAAGUGCCCCGC
rnacentral:rRNA from 1 species